GACGAACGCUGGCGGCGUGCUUAACACAUGCAAGUCGAACGGUAAGGCCCUUCGGGGUACACGAGUGGCGAACGGGUGAGUAACACGUGGGUGAUCUGCCCUGCACUUCGGGAUAAGCCUGGGAAACUGGGUCUAAUACCGGAUAGGACCCUGGGAUGCAUGUCCUGGGGUGGAAAGCUUUUGCGGUGUGGGAUGGGCCCGCGGCCUAUCAGCUUGUUGGGGGGGUGAUGGCCUACCAAGGCGACGACGGGUAGCCGGCCUGGGAGGGUGACCGGCCACACUGGGACGGAGAUACGGCCCAGGCUCCUACGGGAGGCAGCAGGGGGGAAUAUUGAACAAUGGGCGCAAGCCUGAUGCAGCGACGCCGCGUGAGGGAUGACGGCCUUCGGGUUGUAAACCUCUUUCAGCACCGACGAAGCGCAAGUGACGGUAGGUGCAGAAGAAGGACCGGCCAACUACGUGCCAGCCGCCGCCGUAAGAC
rnacentral:rRNA from 1 species